UCCGGUUGACAGGGGUGCUGGGGAGUUUCCCGGCUGAGAUCAUACCCUGAGAACCUGAUCCGGGUAAUGCCGGCGCAGGGAGUCAGCCAACCCCCCUC
rfam:Gemmatimonas sp. SM23_52 WORSMTZ_3912, whole genome shotgun sequence.